UUCGCUUAAGGUGAUGGCGUGCCACCUUCCCCAACCGCCGGCGGGCUUUACCCCGGCUGAUGACGCCUGACACUCG
rnacentral:ncRNA from 2 species